rnacentral:lncRNA from 1 species
UCUUUUAGAAUUUGGUUAAAAUUUAAGAUUUUAUUAGAUUUUUUUAGGAUUUAAUUAAGAUUUAUUUAGGAUUUUAUUUAGAAUUUGAUUAUGAUUUAGGAUUUUUAGCAUUUGAUCAAAAAUUAAGAUUUUAUUAAGAUUUUAUUAGGAUUUGGUUAAGGAUUUCAUCAUGCUUUAGAGUUUGAUUAGGAUUUGAUUAAGAUUUGUUUACAAUUUGUUUAAGAUCUGAAUAGGAUUUAAUUAAGAUUUGGAUAGGAUUUUAUUAGGAUUUCAUUAAGAUUUGAUUUAAGAUUUG